rnacentral:rRNA from 1 species
AGGGUUUGAUCAUGGCUCAGAUUGAACGCUGGCGGAAUGCUUUACACAUGCAAGUCGAACGGCAGCACGGAGAGCUUGCUCUCUGGUGGCGAGUGGCGAACGGGUGAGUAAUAUAUCGGAACGUGUCCAAUAAUGGGGGAUAACGAGUCGAAAGAUUCGCUAAUACCGCAUACGCCCUACGGGGGAAAGCAGGGGAUCGUAAGACCUUGCGUUAUGAGAUGAGUAUGCGUCCUAUUAGUUUGUUGGUGAGGUAACGGCUCACCAAGACUACGAUAGGUAGGGGGCCUGAGAGGGUUAUCCCCCACACUGGUACUGAGACACGGACCAGACUCCUACGGGAGGCAGCAGUGAGGAAUAUUGGUCAAUGGAGGCAACUCUGAACCAGCCAUGCCGCGUGCAGGAUGACGGCCCUAUGGGUUGUAAACUGCUUUUAUUUGGGAAGAAACUUCUCUACGUGUAGAGAACUGACGGUACCAAAAGAAUAAGGACCGGCUAACUCCGUGCCAGCAGCCGCGGUAAUACGGAGGGUCCAAGCGUUAUCCGGAUUCAUUGGGUUUAAAGGGUCCGUAGGCGGAUUUUUAAGUCAGUGGUGAAAGCCUACAGCUCAACUGUAGAACUGCCAUUGAUACUGGAAAUCUUGAGUGUGAUUGAAGUGGGCGGAAUGUGUCAUGUAGCGGUGAAAUGCAUAGAUAUGACACAGAACACCGAUUGCGAAGGCAGCUCACUAAGUCACAACUGACGCUGAGGGACGAAAGCGUGGGUAGCGAACAGGAUUAGAUACCCUGGUAGUCCACGCUGUAAACGAUCAUCACUCGCUGUUGGCGAUACACAGUCAGCGGCCAAGCGAAAGCGUUAAGUGAUGCACCUGGGGAGUACGGUCGCAAGGGUGAAACUCAAAGGAAUUGACGGGGGCCCGCACAAGCGGUGGAGCAUGUGGUUUAAUUCGAUGAUACGCGAGGAACCUUACCAGGGCUUAAAUGUAGUUUGACCGGUCUGGAAACAGACUUUCUCUUCGGAGCAGAUUACAAGGUGCUGCAUGGUUGUCGUCAGCUCGUGCCGUGAGGUGUUAGGUUAAGUCCUGCAACGAGCGCAACCCCUAUUCUUAGUUGCCAGCGGUUCGGCCGGGGACUCUAGAGAAACUGCCCGCGCAAGCGGUGAGGAAGGUGGGGACGACGUCAAGUCAUCACGGCCCUUACGUCCAGGGCUACACACGUGCUACAAUGGUAGAGACAGAGGGCAGCCACCUGGUGACAGGGAGCUAAUCCUUAAACUCUAUCUCAGUUCGGAUUGAAGUCUGCAACUCGACUUCAUGAAGCUGGAAUCGCUAGUAAUCGCAUAUCAGCCACGAUGCGGUGAAUACGUUCCCGGGCCUUGUACACACCGCCCGUCAAGCCAUGGAAGCUGAGGGUACCUGAAGUCGGUAACCGCAAGGAGCCGCCUAGGGUAAAAUCGGUAACUGGGGCUAAGUCGUAACAAGGUAGCCG